AGAAUCAUGGUAAGGCUGGCGUGGAUUCUUUAAAUCAGAGUGAUGCUUAUAAUCGGAAUUUAUUGAAAUGAUGUGUUUUGUGGAGACUGUUUAAAAAAUUGUUUUAUGUUUGAUUUUUGUGCAUGUCUAUGCAUUAACUAUAGCCAUCACAUGUCUUAAGGUUUUAUUAAUCUCUCAGGCUAUGAAGGUGAACUGAUAAUAUCAUGGAAUGGUGAAGGAACUUGAGAGAAAAAGAAACUAUACUGUGAAAUUUCUGGACUGAGAAACUGUUUUGUUUUGUGUUGUGUGAAUGGAAAAAGAAAUAAGCUACACCAUGUGUCUAAUUGCCCUAACAAUCAGACACCCAUGAUCCAUCAAUUUGACGGUUUUCUAGCAGGAAGUAACAAUGCUUGUUAAAAAGGUAAAGAAGUAACCAUCAUCACUCUCUCUCUCUCUCCAACUCAUCUACUGCCUUGAAGAGCCAGCGGGUGAGCAGGAGGCUGUUGGUGGCAUGGGCAAAUUGGACUGUGUGCUCAAGUGCUGACCGUGCACUGAGAAAGCUUAGUGCAUUAAGGGCUGACUCUUGGUCAUUGAUCUGCUAUCUAGUUUGUUGGGGUUUCUUGACAUUACGCCUCUGUUGGGUCAUUUGGUUACCAAUAUUUGACUGUUUAGGCAUCGGAUCUGGAGUAACGGAGACAAUUUUGACUGCUUUAAGAGGUGUUGUAAAGCAUUCUGGGAAGAGUGUCAGCCCUGCGACUAGAAUUCGUGUCUUCACGUUCCUUAAGUAUUUAAUUUCUCAUGAUGAUGACCAAGCUUGAAUGUAUGUGUCGAGCAUAUUGACUACUAUGUGUUUUAUCACUGGUACAGUGUAGAUGUUCUUCAGAACCUUUUGGGUAGUUGCCUUUA